ensembl:lncRNA
CAGCAUCCGGGGAUCACUGAGGUCUCAGUUGUGACCCGAGGCCAAAAUACAAUUAUGUCUAAAAUGUCGUAACUAGCCUGUAGACAAGAAAACUAGGCCUACUCAAAAGAUUUUUCCCUAAAAUUAUGUAACACUGCUCCCAACCUAGUGGCAUAGCUUUUAUAGGUGUUAUUUUAAGAAGAGAAGUUCAAGGGUAGAUUAACAUGUUUUUGACUAAUUGCAAAAGUAUUUUUCACAACUCAGCUGUCUUGCUCUCUUGUCAGGUUGGGGCAAUGUACAGUAAGGGGAGGCACCAGGCACUAUCUCUUUCCGAGAAGCGAUGAUGAAGCAAGUUUACAGAAGCAGAACAAGCAGUUACAAAAACAUCUAUUUUAUAAGGGGAGAGGGAUGAGGGGGAAUUUCUUGGGUUUAUCCUGGUCUCACAGCGGUAUACACCUGUAACCCUAGCACUCAAGAGGCUGAGGCAGGAGGGUCACUGCCCUUCAAGGCCAGACUAGGCUACGUAUUGAGCUCACGGCCAGCUUGAACUACACAGUGAGACCAUGUCUUAAAAACAAAACAAUACAAAAUAAAAACAAACAAAAAGAAAAUAAAUUGUGUCAUUUGCAGGAAAAUAGAUGGAAGUGGAAACUUCAUGUUCAGCGAAAUAAGCCAGAUUCAGAAAGGUAAACAUUAUGUUUUCUCUGAGAAACCUUUUUUAAACAAAGUAAACAAGGAGAGAUGACAAAAAAUUAAAGGGUAGAGAUUUGGAGAUGGGACAGGGAACCAUGGACAGGGGAGAAAGAGAAAUGGGGUGAAGAGAUGUCAUAUGCAUGUAUCAGUUUCCCCAAAUGAACCUCACUAUUCUGUUACCAACAUGCAUGCAAAGCAAAGCCAUACACAAGACCUCAAAAUUUAAGCAGAGUUUUAAUGCUGGCACAUGCCGAUAAUCUCAGCACUCUGGGAGGCUGAGGCAGGAAGACCAAGAGUUCAAGGCCAGCCAGGGCUACGUAGUGAACUUGAGGCCAGCCUGGAACACGAGACACUGUCUCAAAAAAACAAGACAGUCAAUUCAAAUAAUUUAUUUGAAGGAAAAUUAAUGGCUGGGUAGAAUAUCUAUGAAAAUGCCCAUCCAGACCCAAGAAGCCACAGCAGGGCCCAGCCUCUGCCCCGGCCAGGAGUAGGGACAGCGCCCUCCACUGGCCUGAGUUCACACGCCAGGGCUCUCACUGAAACGCCCGUGCCCCGACUUCCAUUUGGCUGGUGGGAUCCUGGUCCCUCAGAGCCAAAGGCCACAGCCUGGGUGUCCCUUUUCAGUUGCUAAGCUGCCCCAGUUAGCUGAGCAAGGACAAGUACAAAAUAGAAAGCCCUGGGCAAGAAUUGAGAAACCAGAGCAAGCAGGGCUGUCAAAACAUCAGGACACCAACAGAGGUCCACCCCAAGAGGCCCAAGCAUGCACAAACCCCAGAGCACAAGACUCUGGCCUGGGUCCAGCCUCGCUGGCAUUGCAGUCCCCCAUCCCAGGGGGCUUUGGACACUUCCUCUGAAUCCUCACAUGGUCAAAGCCCACUUUGGACGGACAGACAUACGGGUAACUGAGUCAGGUGGCCCACUGGGCCAGGGCUCCUGUUGGUCCCCAACUCCAGACCCUCCCAUAACCCCAGACCUUUAGAGUCUCAGGACCAACCCUAUGGGGCCAUGAGUUCUCCUUCCUGGCCACCCCACCAUGUGGAGUGGACAUUCACGCAAGUCCAUCCUAAUAAAUGGUACGCUCAGUGUUUUUAAGUGUCCUGCUCAAUUACAGUAUUGGCUUGAGACACCAAGAACCUGGAAACAACUCUCCCAGGGGCCCCUCUCAUCUGAUAACAUGACCUUAUUUUUUGUGUUUUUUGAGACAGGGUCUCCCUAUAUAGUUCACGCUGACCUCGAACUCACAACAGUCCUCCUGCCUCAGCUUUGAGAGUGCUGGGAUUACAGGCUUAUGCCACCAUGCCUGUCUUCUCUGUGAUUUGGGGUAAAGUUUUUUUUUUUAAAACAGACUUUUAAAGAUUUCAGUAUACUACCUGUCAGGUAAAAGGGCCGAAGACCAAGACCAGACCAGGCCACAACAAGCCUUUAUUAGGGGAAUAGAUCUGCGGGGCUGUCUCUGAACAAAGGACAGACAAAAAGCAAUAUGGCUGGGGCAGGGAGAGUCUUUUAUAGAGACUGGGGUGGGGCUUGUAGGGGCUGAGGCGGGGUUGAGUGAGGUAGUGACUAGGGAAUGGAGGAGCCGGUGAUGUCACUAGGUGGUAGGAGGUGAGCGAGUAUUAGGUUACUCUCUAGUCAGGAACAGGGGCAUGCUGGGAAGAAGGGUUUGUUCUUUGGUGGGAGCAGCCAUCUUGGCAUGACGUCACACAGGGGAGGGGGCAAGGCACCAUAGGAAGAGGGCAGCUACUGUACUUAAUAGCUGCUGAGGUGGUGGGAGACCUAUCACUACCUACUUUGAAAAGUUAGUGAUAUUGUGGGGAAUAUCGCUGGUAGGUACACUAAGCGAAAGGAGGUUCUAAUCACACUAUAAUCACUUCAGAAUGAUUCAUCUCUUCCUAAAGACUAUGCAUAGAAAAUGCCCCCAAAAAAGAAAAAAAAAAAAAAGAAAAUGCCUAUGUUGGCCAUUAUUUAGGACACAGGAAGCCUCCUCCUGCAACUUUCCUGCUUUUCCUCAUUUCCUCCAGUAAGGAACAGGGCGUCAGUCGAUGAGACACUCACUGCAUGGAAGGGGAUGAGUGUGGCGAUGAGAGGGGAAUGUUUCUCUGCAGUUAAAGCCAAACUUACUGGUGGAAGUUUUCCCCCAUUCCCUCAACGUGUCUGGGCUUCCGGACACUGCUUCUCAAGCCUCUCAGGUAUUUUCUUUGUUCUCAGGUUUAUUACUUCUAUCUCCCCAGCAAAUGUAAAUGGGAUGGGGCUCUGUGCACUGAGCUUGCUGUCCGUAAUGUCUGAUAACCGGUGAAUGUGCUGGGCCCAGAUGAACUGUGCCCUACGUAACCAAUGUGAAGUGUUUAAUUCCAGCAAGCCCGGCCCCUCCCAAGAGUAUAACCCGCCCUGCUCAGCCCA